ensembl:lncRNA
CGAGAUAAAAGAGAAAUGAAACUGUUGGAGAAACUGCAGCGCAGUGAAUGACAUGAUUGCUGGCUGUUUAUACCAACUGACUUUACUGGAGCCUCAUUCCAACUUGGAAGAGACUACAGAGCCAUGGAAAUAAUGGGAUGUAUCAUAAAAUUUGAAGAGGAAAUGCAACUCAAAAUUCAGUAGAAACAGGUAAAGCUUGUCACCAAAGUGUCUUGUUUGGAGACCCGGUAUGAAAAUGUAGAUCCAACG